GCUGACACAUCCCUGCCAAUCUCCGGCAGACCCUCCCUCCCAGACCCUUCUACUUCCUGGACAGCAUCCAUGUUGAAGGCAGCUUCAACAUGGAUGCUGUCCAGGAGGUGGGAGGGUCUGGGAGGGAGGGUCUGACGGAGAUUGGCAGGGAUGUGUCAG